GUACGAUGUGAAAAAUUCAAUGAAGUGUAGAAAUCAACACCUUUAUCUUGCGACUUGAUGAUUCUAUCUUAGCUCCCUGUCAAUCAUUGUUAUAAACUCUGUCCUUUGCAAAGAGCAGUCAGCAUAACAAAAGCAUAUAGAGAAGCGGAGACAUGAAUCAUUCGUGGAUAUUUAUCAAAGUGUUCUGAAAUGUGAUGUAUAAAUUCCAUCAUUAUUUUGAUAGUUUUUAUUAAAGUGAUCAAAAU